rnacentral:lncRNA from 1 species
ACAGUGCCAACUAGGUGACAAUACUCUGCAGGGCUGGGGCAAAGUUCUCCAGAGGGCUGUGUAUGCUCUGAAUCAGCCUCCAAUACAUGAUACUGUUUCUCCCAUAGCCAGGAUUUACAGGUCCAGUAAUCGAGGGGUGGAAGUGGAAGCGGCACCACUCACUAUCACCCCUAGUGAUCUACUAGCAAAAUUUUUGCUUCCUGUUCCCAUGACAUUACAUUCUGCUGGCUUAGAGGUCUUAGUUCCAGAAGGAGGAGUGCUGCCACCAGGAGACACAACAACAAUGCCAUAAAACUAGAAGUUAAGAUUGCCAUCUGGACACUUUGGGCUCCUCCUACCUUUAAGUCAACAGGCUAAGAAGAGUGUUACAGUGUUGGCUGGGGUGACUGGCCCAGACUAUCAAGAUGAAAUCAGUCUACUACUCCACAAUGGAGUUGCUGAAUGAUAAGCAAUAAUGGAAGGAAACUAUGAAAAUCACACUAGAGUGUCAAUGAAAAUCAUCUACAGUUGAUGGUAUCUAAAAGCGAUAUGACACUUCUGAAAUGGCCUUGUGACAUCAUCUCUGAAUAGAGAAGUUGAAUGAAAUAAGUUUGCAAGCACAUUCUGUAAGAACUUCUCCAGAGACAUGGGCUUUAGGUAUGUCUGCCCAGGAGUGCCAGUUACCAGUAAGAGUUUCAGUUCAUGUUUAUUCUGCAAAACUGGGUGAAGAAAAGUUCAUUUAUCAGAAAUACUUUCUCCAUAGAAGGUCUAAACUUUCGACCAGACUGAAGUCUAUUCAUGUAAUCAACUGUCUUUAAUAUUCAAUGUUCUUACUACAACAGCUGGGCAGGAUUGUCUUUCCCUCCCUGAACAUUUCUUCCCUCUUUGUCAGAAAACAAAUGAAUGUCCUCAGUAUUAUCAGAGUAAGUCCUUUAUCUACCCAAGGGUGCCAGGAUAUUUUAUCAAGUAAACAAAUUAAAAUAUUUCACUUUCAUUUGCCAA